GGGGAGGUAGCUCAGUUGGUAAAGUACCUGCCUGGCAAGCAUGAGGUCCUGAGUGCAAUCCCCAGAAUCCACA
rfam:Mus musculus chromosome 11, GRC primary reference assembly.